UUUUUAGUUAUUUCCCCAGGCCACGGGCCCUUGGAAGAUAUCAUAGAUGGGCUUUACAGAGUCUAUGGAAACUGGAACAAUUUGUAAAUUCUUAAAAAGAUGUAUGUGGAUAUAUGAAUUUUUUCUGAAGAGUGGACCUAUAGUUUUUAAAUGAUACUCAAACGAAUUGAGAACACAAACAUUUAAGCACUGCUGUGUUUGUAAGGAAAUAUUUGAAGUGCAAAUACAUUUCUGCUAUAUUAAUAAACAUUUAUAUGCUUAAGGCUAUUGCAUAUUUCCAAAAUGAUUAAAAUAAGUAAUUGCCAAAGGGCAUGAUAUUACAUGCAUGCAUUUAACACAUACAUUUAAGAGAACAGACUCUUAAAUAAUAGAUAUCUAUUAAUAAUAGACUUAAUAGAUGUGAUUCAUAAAUGGAUUAACUCUAAUACUGCCAAUCUUCUAUAUAUGAGGUAAUAAUGCAAAGAAAGUCACACACAGUUAUCAAAACAAAAGUUUGCCAGUAUUUAUUCUUUUCAAUAUUUUAAAAUAAAUAUUAUUUUUAAUAUUUAUUUUGAAAUAUAUAUUAUACUUAAAGUGACAAAUAGAUGAUGACUGUUUUGGACUAUGACGACAUUAUACUUAUGUUAAAUACCAACUAUGUAUUUUGCAUAACAAAACAACAAAAAACUGUUAUUUCCCACAUUAUAUAGGGAACUCACUUUGUUGUAUUUUUCAAGUAUCUUCGGAAGAAAGAUAAAUGAAAUAAUAAAUUAAGCAUAGUAAUUACCAUAUAAUAAGACAGCUGAAAUUUUAUUUGAAAAAGUAUAAAUUAUAAUUACUAACAUACAUUAAAAAACCAACUCCAUCAUUAGUCUUUAGUUAAUCAAUUGUCUAUAAACUAUUUAUGAGUGCCUAUUAUGAACUUUUGAAUUUUGCCAGAUUUCUUUUGAAUUUUCAGUAUGUUAUUAAAUAUCAUUUGGUAUAAAAAACUCUCAAUUUUACCCCCUUCACUCCAAAAAAGACCAGUCAUCUUAAAGACCUUCUAUUCAAAAGGCUAUAAGUGUGACAUGAGAAACACAUAACAACAUGUGUAAAGAUCCCAGUUGUCAAAAACAUAUCCAAUAAUAUAGGUGAUAAAUAAAUAUUUAUUAAAUAAAUAAUGUGUGGAAUUUUUUUCUUGGUGUAGGUUUUUAAGGAUAAUCAAAAGAAAAGUUAAGAUAGUGAUUCUUAUAAGUGGAGAAUUCUAAAUUUAUAUAUUCAUGAGUAAGUGGUUACUUGUACAUUUUCAGAAACUAAGUGCUGUGUUCUGCUAAAGAAAUUUUAUUUAUUUAUUUAUUUAUUUAUUUAUUUAUUCAUUUUUUAUGGCUGUACCUGCAACAUAUGGAAGUUUCUAAGCUAGGGAUCAAAUUGGAGCUGUAGCUGCAGGCCUAUGCCACAGUCACAGCAACACUGGAUCUGAGCUGCAGCAAUGCCAAAUCCUUAACCCACUGAGUGAGGCCAGGGAUCAAACCUGCAUCCUUAGGGACACUAUGUCAGGUUAUUAACCUGCUGAGCCACCAUGGGAACUCUGGAAAUAUAUUUAAAUAUCAAAAGCAGCUAUACUAUAAAUAAUGACCUUAGCUUAUGAUACUUAGGUUGCUAAAAACAUUAAUUAAUUGGAAUAAUUCCAAAGACUCCACCUAUUCAAAAUUUUAAAACAGAAAACUGAUACAUUAUUCAAAUAAUAUCAAAAGUAAAUUAUUGGCAUUAGAAUAUAUGUUAAAUUCUGAUUGUAUAAUAGAUAACUAAAUAUUAUAUUCAACAAAUUACAAAAAUUAAAUUUUUACAGUACAGACGAAUUAAUGUUUCAGACAAUCUCAAUGUACAUAAGCAUGUGUAUUCCAAUUUAUUCUAUAUACACAUUCAUAAAGAUUAUAAGACAUUUAUAUCUGUAUAUAUAAAUAUAUGAACAUAUCAGUAUACAUAUAUACCUCUAAUUUUAAGCCCUAUUUUCAGUUGCCAAAAAAUAAAAAGUAUAGCCUAAAUUAGCUGGUGUUUUUUUGGGAAUAUCUUGAUGUCAAGUGUAAUAUUCAUUCCUUUUUUCCUUUCAGUUUUUCUAGUUAAAAAUCACUUGCUUUUUCUAAAAUAUGACUCAUAAUACUUAUUUAAUCCUCCAAGUUAAUAUCAUAAUGCAUUUUUGAAGUGAAAGCAAGUGGUAAAAAUUAUUUGGAUAAUAUAUUGUGCUAACAUGUUUUAAUAAAAUAUGACCUAUUUAUGAAUAAAAAUAUAGGCAAAAUAUUUGUAAAGAAUUAUGUCUCAUAAAAAUAUGAAAGAGGAAGGGAAUGGAUAGAAACACUGGAUAGUGUUAAAACAGAAAACAAUUUCAAAGGACUAAUCAAAGGGGCAAAUACAUAUUUCGAUCACAUUUUUUUCUCCCAUGGAAAAGCAUCUUGUUAUCCCCGGCUGUUUAAUAUUUAAUUAAGAUAAUAAGAAGCCACUUGGGCCAGCUUCUGAUGAUACUAAGAAAUGACUAUUUCAGUAUUCAAAACACUUUUCAUUUCAUAGAUGGAAAGUAAAUAAAAAAAAGUGUUCUGUUUUGUGUGUGGCAAGAGAAUGCCAGUGCAAGAUAAAAAUAUUUUCAUUCGAUUUUGUUGAAUGGACCUGGUCAACUUGUUUUUAAGGGAAAAACAUCUGCAAAAUCAAAACAAAACAAAAUCUGGAAAAUAGGGCAGAAGAGGGUAAAUCUCCCUGGGUUAAAAUUGAAAUAACUUUGAAACCAACAGCAAUUUUGUAACGUACCUUCCACAUUUGUGAUUAGUAAAUUUUCGUCUCUGCUAAUUCAAAUGAUGCUCAUUUCAAAAUGAAACCCUUUUAUAAGAAAAACAUUUGAACAUUUUAAUGACAUCAUUUUUUAUUGUUUUCAAAAAGUAUAUAAAUAAAAUAAUCUGCAGCUGAGAAGAUUGUUAUAAAUUUUAAUUCAUCUCCCCAAUUCUUAUCAUUGGGAAUCUAAAUAUAAAACACAGCAAAUACAUUUUUAUCCCUCCCUAGCAAUGUAGAGUAUAUGUGUUUCUCCUCGGCCAUAGCUAAGUUGUUGCAUUCCAACCGGCCGCAAGGGGAUAUUAAAAUCUGUGGUGAUACAGAGAUUGCCCUCUGCCCAGAAAUCUGACUUUUCUUAACAGAAUAAGUGAGUCUAUCCCUUAAUGAGCUAACCUGAACCAAAUAUGGCUAUUUAUAUUUACAAUACUUGCAAGUCUAGCCUUAUAUUUCAAUGGGAUGUCAAAAGUGGGGUAUAUAUCUGUUUAAAUAAAUAGUAGAAUACUUGAUUCGACAUAUGUGAGUCAUACUGAUUACACCAAAAAUGUUUUACAAAAUAUAGCAAAAAAUGGAACGUUAUACAUUUUGAUAUACAACUUUUAAAAUAGUUUAUAUAUGCAUUACUUAAUUCAAAUUAUAGUGUACAAAAGUCCAUUUUAAUGAGG
rnacentral:lncRNA from 1 species